GGCUCAGAACGAACGCUGGCGGCGUGGAUAAGACAUGCAAGUCGAACGAGAGAAUUGCUAGCUUGCUAAUAAUUCUCUAGUGGCGCACGGGUGAGUAACACGUGAGUAACCUGCCCCCGAGAGCGGGAUAGCCCUGGGAAACUGGGAUUAGUACCGCAUAGUAUCGAAAGAUUAAAGCAGCAAUGCGCUUGGGGAUGGGCUCGCGGCCUAUUAGUUAGUUGGUGAGGUAACGGCUCACCAAGGCGAUGACGGGUAGCCGGUCUGAGAGGAUGUCCGGCCACACUGGAACUGAGACACGGUCCAGACACCUACGGGUGGCAGCAGUCGAGAAUCAUUCACAAUGGGGGAAACCCUGAUGGUGCGACGCCGCGUGGGGGAAUGAAGGUCUUCGGAUUGUAAACCCCUGUCAUGUGGGAGCAAAUUAAAAAGAUAGUACCACAAGAGGAAGAGACGGCUAACUCUGUGCCAGCAGCCGCGGUAAUACAGAGGUCUCAAGCGUUGUUCG
rnacentral:rRNA from 1 species